UUGACCUCGGAUCAGGUAGGGAUACCCGCUGAACUUAAGCAUAUCAAUAAGCGGAGGAAAAGAAACCAACAGGGAUUGCUCUAGUAACGGCGAGUGAAGCAGCAAUAGCUCAAAUUUGAAAUCUGGCGUCUUCGGCGUCCGAGUUGUAAUUUGUAGAGGAUGCUUCUGGGCAGCCACCGACCUAAGUUCCUUGGAACAGGACGUCAUAGAGGGUGAGAAUCCCGUAUGCGGUCGGAAAGGCACCCUACACGUAGCUCCUUCGACGAGUCGAGUUGUUUGGGAAUGCAGCUCUAAAUGGGAGGUAAAUUUCUUCUAAAGCUAAAUAUUGGCCAGAGACCGAUAGCGCACAAGUAGAGUGAUCGAAAGAUGAAAAGCACUUUGGAAAGAGAGUUAAAAAGCACGUGAAAUUGUUGAAAGGGAAGGGAUUGCAACCAGACUUGCUCGCGGUGUUCCGCCGGUCUUCUGACCGGUCUACUCGCCGCGUUGCAGGCCAGCAUCGUCUGGUGCCGCUGGAUAAGACUUGAGGAAUGUAGCUCCCUCGGGAGUGUUAUAGCCUCUUGUGAUGCAGCGAGCGCCGGGCGAGGUCCGCGCUUCGGCUAGGAUGCUGG
rnacentral:rRNA from 1 species